AAACCCCAGUGAGGGAAUCUCAAAAGUCUGGGACUCCCAAGAAAUCCCAGACUGUCAAAGCCAAGAAUUAAGGCUGCUCUUAGGUCUCUGAGAAAUUUUCUUGCUCAAAGUCAUCAUAGAUUGGCUGAACCCCCAGAGGGCAAAGCCAAAUCAUGAGGUUCACAUUAGAGGAACUGGGAGGUAGGUAAAGGCUGAAAAGCAGGAGGGAGAGAAAGGAACUGGGAAACAGGCCACAAGCUAAAGGUGUUUCAUAUGUUAAAGGAGGCUAGCCUCCACUCCUGCUGCCUUUCCUUGAGACCUUUAAAUAGUGGCUACAUCUAGGGAAUAGCCAUGAGCUUGGAGAACAUGGAGAACCUCCACACUUCUCUGCAAGGCACCUCAUCAUAACUGCUUUCCCUUUCUUGACCACGGGCUCCAGGGUGGCAGGAUCCUAGCCUGCUAGCAGGGAAUAGUGGGUACAAGAGCAAAGAAAGACGCCCAUCCUCAGCUCUUUUGUGGGGAGGAAGCUGAGGCCCCUCAGAUCUCUGUUCCAGGCUGAGGCAUCUGCUUGCCAAGGCUCCUCUUCCUUACCUUGAUUUUCUCCACUACCCCUUCCCACCCAGGCCUGUCUCGGCAUUUCACCCCAGGCAGCUCUACCUCUAUCCCCAAGGCCUAAUCAAGAUGUCACCAUAGGCUCCCACUGUCCAAGUCGCCGUCUUUGCUUAGCAACACCAAACACCCUUUCCCAUCCUCCGCAAGUAUAAGGAGGAACGCCCCCUCCCCCGCUACACACACACACACACACACACACACACACACACACACACACAGCCCCCAUCCUCUCCAUCUCCUCAGGCUUGGGAGUAGUUACUGAAUUGGCUCCCUAGCCCCAGCACCCCCCUUCCUCCCUCCACUAGCCGCCUUCUGCCUGAACUUACAUUAUCCUUCCCUUGCCGGUGAGACCCUGGGGUGCGAACGCGGCCGCCGCCUUGGAAACGGCGAGGGAGUGCGGGUGGUGUAUGCAUGUCUGCGUCUCAGUGGCAGGCAGGGGUGAGCCCAGCCACUCACCUUCCAGGAAGCGUGGAUUCCUGGAAGUGAGGGGAACCGCCGUCAUUUCGCAGGCAGCAGCAGCGGCACGCAGUGAGAGGGCCCAGCAGAGUCUGGUGUCAGGCUAGUGUUGCUCCGUGGCCCUGAGACCUUUCAGAUCCCGGGCAAAAAGGCUGGUACGGUCUCCCCAUUUCCCCCCCUUCCUGUGCCCCUGGGGCCCCAGCAGCCGAAAGCCCUGGAUGAAUCCGCCCUCUAUCAGGACAAGGCCUCUGCUCCCUUCCCUUUCAGAGGAGCUGCUCACUGACAAACUGACCUACUUUGGAAGACUACAUUUUCUGAUUCCAAGAAUUUGGGGGUGGGAGGGGCUGUGAAACUUCGGGCUGCCUACCCCUGAAUCCCUUUCUACUAAAGUUCUCUAAAACAUUUCACAGUCUCAGAAAACUUGGGGCAAGCCCUGCUCAGUCAAUUAAUGGCAGGAGCUGGGUUUCAGCAACUCUGUUUCCCUUGAAAGAUAGGAAAAUGGAGGGGGUGGUUAUCUGUGCCAUAAAUUAAUAGACUCCUGCUUAUCUCCCCCUUUUCCCUGCCCCAGAAGGGAAUGAUCUGUACCUUUAAAAAGAGAAAAGGGGAGAAAAGAUGGAUUUUCUGAAUCACAUUCUGUGAGGAAUUCAAAUCUCUUGGAAGAACAGGAGAGAUACCCUUUUCAUCAAGUGGCCUGAUGAGGGAAGGUCACCUGGCGUGGAGCAGAAGAACUAUGAUGGCCUGUGGAGGCCCGCAGUGUGCUUCGGGAGGGCUGCAUGCUGCAGCCUUUCCCUCUGCUUCCAUAUGACUCUUCCAGGAGAGAUGGGUAGCUGCUGACAUCUAAAAUUCUCAAAGUACAGAGGAGGAGUUCCUGGCCUCCACUUCCAUUCAAAAACCAUCCUGUGCAGAGGCCACUUCUUAUCUAGGACAUGCCAAUCUGCUGAAAGCAGGGAAAACUUGGUUUCAUAGCACGGUGAAGCAAAUCACCUCCAUGAGUAUCCAAUAUUCUCCAUAAACAGGUUUGAAAAGAGCUCCACAGGAUUUGUAGUUUCUCAUUUGCCUGCUUUAUGGUAGGGACUGGAUUUUAUCCAUCUGAGUGUUCCCCAGCACUAAAGCAGGGUCCCAAGUGUACUUGUUGCUCAGUAGUGGUUUUCUGAAUAGGCUUAACUGAGCAGGAGGUAGGAGGACUGGCUCGCUCCUCACAAGGCCAUGACUUUUGUUCUAAUAAAGUCUCUUCCAAUUAAAUGAGUCUACCUGAUCCCUGUCAUUCUGUCAAGCAUGUGGCAGAUAUUGAAUGCCUUUACCCAUUCCAACUCCUUCCCUCCUUAAACAAGAAAGGGGUCAGAGUCAACAUCUUACCUUACAUUACCCGGGUGUUGCCAAUGACUCUCAUAUGUGUGUCUGACCCAUCUUGCUAUCUCCUUUAGUGCAUGCCAAUAAUUCCUUCAUUGGUCCUACUUUAGAGUAAAAAAUAAGCUAUAGGUCAUUUCCAAAAUGGUGCUUGGGUUUCUGAUAGGGAUAC
rnacentral:lncRNA from 10 species